rnacentral:rRNA from 1 species
UACGGGGGGGGCAAGCGUUGUUCGGAAUUACUGGGCGUAAAGGGCUCGUAGGCGGCCAACUAAGUCAGACGUGAAAUCCCUCGGCUUAACCGGGGAACUGCAUCUGAUACUGGAUGGCUUGAGUUCGGGAGAGGGAUGCGGAAUUCCAGGUGUAGCGGUGAAAUGCGUAGAUAUCUGGAGGAAUACCGGUGGCGAAGGCGGCAUCCUGGACCGGCAUUGACGCUGAGGAGCGAAAGCUAGGGGAGCAAACGGG